rnacentral:lncRNA from 1 species
AAUAGUCGUUCAGAAAAAAAAAAAGCAUUACAUUCCUUGAUCAUCAAAGAUUGCUUCCAAACGAGACCACAAACAUUACAUUCCUACUCGCCAAGGGAUAAUUCAAGGCCUCAAACUUUCAGUUAGAUGCAACUUCACUAGAUCAAUCGCUCUCUUCACAUUUAAUAUUAUUGAACCGCUUAGGCCCUAUAACAAAACAGAAUGAUAAUACGUUUAAUGUUGUCUUCAUAGGAUUUUAGUCUACGAUUGCCUUAGGACAACGAUUUAAAUAUUGAGUCAAACGGGAAAACCACAAGCAAACAGGACACAAAACAUGGAUUACCAUGAUAGCGAUAAAAGAGCCACCAUGCAAGCAUGACUAAAACUCUAGUUGCAUCAAAAUACAACACUAACCAUCCAUUCACAAAGAGAGAAAAAGAUAAGUACAAAAGAAGAAGAAAAUACAUCACCAACAGUCCAACGCAUAUGAUUUUUUUGAACGGAAAAAGGAUCACAGAACAAUAGCUUCAUAUACCAUAAAUGAUUGCUUGCCCACUCACUGGAUUCAUCUUUCAUAUACCAUAAACAUACAAGCCAGAUGAUCAAAUUAAUAGGACACACAACAUAACUCUGCAUAUGGCAAAACACAGGAAGACGCAAACCCAAACAUCAGAGGACAUGGGCAUUCACCAAUAAGCGUUUGUGGGGUGCCACAAUCCUCUACCAUGCCAAUAAGUUGAAUUAGUUGGGCAACUUAGUUGUGUGUAAUCUGACAGUCAAGAUUUAGUGAAUGAUAAUUGCAUAGGCCACAAAAUCACUACACAAAAUGAAACCUCAGUAUUUUGCAUGGGAACAUCACAAUCUAGCAUCAAUGAUUAACAUAGAAUGUGUCUUUAAGAUGGAAAACCACAAGCAAACAGGAAACAAAUAACAUGGACCAUUACGACAGGAAUAAAAGAACCACCACAUGCAUACGACCAAAACUCUACUCCCAUCAAAAUACAUCACCAAUAGUCCAAUGC